GGCAGACGCCACAGACUCCCUGAUGUGGUGACGGCACCUCGUUCCGUUUCAGCAGAGGAGGUAGGGAACCCUAGGCGGUGGCGGACCCGGCGAGGCGUUGACGAGCAAGCGGCGGCCGCGGGCCCUGCAAGGCGUCGAUGAGCGAGCGGCGGCCGCCAGCGGCACGCACCCCGCAGGCACGUAGUGACCGGCGGCUAGGCACUCUAGCAGUGCUUCCCAGACAGGGGCUUCGCCUAUGCAUCCGCGUGCGUGGGGGCGCGGUGCUAUCUGCGCAUGCCAGCGCUAGGGCGGGCAGGCGGUGAGCGGCUGCAACCAGGCGUCGAGAUCUAGCGGCGGCCGGCGGCGGCACGCACCCCGCAGGCGCAUAGCAACCGGCGCCUAGGGGCUCCAGGCCGGCGCGCCAGUGGGCUCCCCGGGUUGCGGCUAUCGGGCUGUGCGGCACCAGCAUAGCAAUCGGGGCACUAACAAUCCCUUGCAAAGCAAAAUUUUUUCACCAAAGGAUUACAUUGGUCUAGCAUGUCCAUUAGACCUUUUACAAUAUCUGGAUCAAUAUCUGUUGUUUCACUUUCUUGAUUUUGCAAGUCACGUAUUCUGUUUGAAAUUUCGUUUUCAGUAUCAAAUAUGUAUAAUUCAGCGAACCUUGGGAUAUCAUUAGGUUUAGGCAAUAGUGAUCCUAUACGAUGAUGUAUUUGUCCAUUAAUGCGAAAAAUAUAAGGUCCAUCUUCUUGAUUUAUAGAUUUAUCUAUAUUUGCCCCCCUAGAUGUAAAAGCAAACAAGUUAUUAUAUUGUCUUAUUUUUUGAAUAAAAUGUUUAGAUUGACUAUCACCAUUGUUAUCAAGUAGCUUUGCAAGAAACUCAGGAGGUUUUUUAAAUGGAGGAAUUUGGAUUUUUCCUUCUUUACAGCAUAGGUUGUAAGUAAUAGUUCCAUGAUUAGAUUUAAUUCUUUCAUUAUACCAGAAUAUUGCUCCACAAUAUUGACAGUCAUGAUUAGCUGCUCCAUAGUAUGAUCUUCCAGAAUAUGAUUCUUUCAGCUAUUAUAUAUAUUUUGGAGAAAAAUAUAUAUUAUCUGUUUGUAUUGAUAAGUAUGCUGUUUUUUUGUAUGUUUAGAUUACGUCUCUUCAUUCGAUUAAUUACACCUUCUUCUAUUGUACAGUUUCGAUUAACAUCAACUAUUUUGCGCUUUUUAGUCCUUGCCAUACCUUUUGUUAAUAAGAGAUAGAAGAAAAUGUUAGUAUGUUUAAAUCAAGAGACAAGGAUAGUAGGACACUUCGAUUUCACAUAAAAAAGGUAAGAGUGAUAAAGAACACAUACUAAAAAGGUAGGCUAAUCGAUUAUUUAUUAGUUUUUCUUAAAACGUUUGCCAAUCCAGAUUUCAUAUAUUUGUCGAUUUUGAUUAUUGGUGCAUUAAUAGCAAACAUAUAGUACUAUUUCAAAAAAAAAAAAGAAGUGAUGCCAAUUUCUUAACCAUUUUGCAUUUUUUGUGUGUGUUUGAUAGGAGGGAGCAGAAGAGGAUAUCAGAGAUUCAUUGACCAGUCUUCUAGAAGGUGAGGAACCACAAGGUGUUGGACAACGUGACUUUGAUGCGAAACCUAUGAAAACCCUGCUGUUGGAAAUCUAGAACAUGUCAAGUCCUCUGGAAGGUAAGGAACCAUAAGAUUUUUGACAACGCGAACUUGAUGCGCAACAUAUGGAGGCUCUGCUGCUGGAAAUCUGGAACAUGUCAAGGUUUGAACACGCUAUGUUUCCUGGUAGCUUGAUACUGAACCACGUUUGCCCUUGCUUAAUAUAUGUAUGAGAAAUAGGAAUAAGAAGCAAGAACACAGAUACAUAUCGACAAAGAGGAAAUAGAGACAGGAAGACUCAGAUACGUAAAAGAUUGUGACUUGUGAGAUAUUGAGAUUUAUGAGGAAAACUUCCAAGCGCUUUUGUGAGUUGUGAGAUACUCAGAUACGUAGUAAAUCUAUUUAAUAAUGGGGG